rnacentral:lncRNA from 1 species
GUUAAAAAUCAACCCCUGACUUAACUGCUUGUGUUAUCUAUAGAUUCCAGACAUUGUAUGGAAAAGCAUCGUGAAAAUCCGUCCUGUUCUGUUCCGUUCUGAUUACCAGUGCAUGCAGCCCCCAGUCAUGUACCCACUGCUUGCUCAAUCAUUCACGACCCUCUCACGCGGACACUCUUAGAGUUGUAAGCCCUUAAAAGGGACAGGGAUUGCUUACUUGGGAGCUCAGUUUUUUGAGACGUAACUCUGCCGACGCGCCUGGCCAAAUAAAGCCCUCUCCUUCCUCAACUCGGUGUCUGUGGCUCGUCCUGCUACAAUGCAUCUACCCAUACAGAUGGUGUCCGGAAUUUCAAAUAAUACUGAGUUAUGGGAAUUGCCACAGUUGAGAUGAAAUGAAGCCUGGUUUCCCAUUCAAAAGGAAAACCAGAGAGCAGAGGAAUUCAUGCAAUUUUUACCUCCUUCAAAUUUAGCUAAUAAUGAUUUUUUUAAACUAAUGGAUUGUUGAUGAUAAAGAGA